rnacentral:lncRNA from 1 species
CCUUUUAGUUGCGAGGCCAUCAUUAUACACACAUUCACGAAAGAGAAAGCGAUAUCGGAACGCGCGUCACAUUUUUUAUCUCGUUGUAGCCGUAGCCAUGGGUGAUUGAGUAGCCUUAUCAAUAUAUAUAUUUUUUUCUAGCCCGCCGGCAACUCCUUUCGUCCACCGAACCGAAUAACCCUUUGAUAACUGAACCUAAAGGACUGAAUUUAAUGUAUUAAGCAGUUGCACGCAUGAUAAUUCACCCAUAUUUCGUACCUGUUGGUUCCAAAUGUUCUUUCUGUUCAAUUUGGUUUACCUGAGGACAUUUGCUUUUGCAGUAGUGAAGCGGUGCAUCACGUUCAUGCAGAAAAAGAAUGCAUCAUUUCUAAUAGCUUCAUGUCUUUCAUGCAUUUGCUUGUGAAACCAGCAGUAUGAUCUAUUCUAGUGUAUAAAAUGUGCACAAAUGUUCUCAUUUGUGAUCUUAAUACUUAAGCUGUUGACAUGCGUUGUAGUUAGGCAGACAUCAAUUUUAUGAAGAGUAGCAAUACUUAUUUACCAUGCCGCUUAAGCACCCUAGAACAAGCAGUGUACAUUUGCGUGUGUUCUGUAGUCACAAACAAUUACAAUCCACAUGUCACACGUUUUCACAUUUCAUAUUUCAAUAUUGUGCUUAUUCAAUUUCUGAUGCAGUCAAAAUUUCUGUUGCAGACAUGCAAUAAUGAGGAUGGCACCAGGAUAAAGAAACACACUCCAUGCACUAAACAGAAGCUGCUGCCCGCUACAAGGCCAUUGUGUGGACUUUGGCUGCUACUACAAGGCACCUUGCCUCCAGCCGGCGAAAAUGGACAGACAAGGUUCAACGCACAUGCUUUGGAGUUACUGCAAACAUUCACCGGACAUCAAUGCACACAUUCGCUGCUACCACGUUCUACCUAGGUGGUUUGUGUGAAAAUUGGUGCACGAGGACUGAUCGGCAUCCGAAUGGUGUACUGCUGCAUGCCCUUUUGCUGCUUCCGCUCUGGGAAAUGCCCAGGCGUGUCAUUUCAUCAGUUUCCAAGUGACGGAGACUUUAUUUAUUUUCAUACUCUCAGGACCAGAGGCCAUUACAGAGAGGAGUGUUCUAACAAUAAAUUCUUAAUCUCAACUUUAAAGGCGGCAGGGUCUUCGAUUCCAGCGAUGGAAGCGGGAAGGUGGUCCCAGUCACUGCUUGUU